rnacentral:rRNA from 1 species
AGAGAGAGACAUGCGCGCAUAUCAAUAAGCGGAGGAAAAGUAACUAACUAGGAUUCCCUCAGUAACGGCGAGUGAAGCGGGAAGAGCUCAAAUUUGAAAUCUUCAAGGUUCUACCUUGACGAAUUGUAGUUUAAAGAAGUGUUUUCUGUUGGAGUUUUGGUAAAAGUUCUUUGGAAUAGGACAUCAUAGAGGGUGAGAAUCCCGUAUUUGACCAUUAUUUCCAGCUUUGUGAUACACUUUCAAAGAGUCGGAUUGUUUGGGAAUGCAGUCCAAAAUGGGUGGUAAAUUUCAUCUAAAGCUAAAUAUUGGCGAGAGACCGAUAGCGAACAAGUACCGUGAGGGAAAGAUGAAAAGAACUUUGAAAAGAGAGUUAAACAGUACGUGAAAUUGUCAAAAGGGAAGCGUUUGACACCAGUGUUGUUUUUCUCGAAAAUCAAUUAAAGAACUGUUUAUGCUAAGCUGUUUAGACUUUAUCAGCUAUCUGUUUAGUUUUGAGCUUUUCUUUAAUGCACUUUUCAGUUAACAAGUCAACAUCAAUUUCUUUUGUUGUAAAAAAGCUUGAGGAAGGUGGCUUGAGAUUCGUCUUAAGUGUUUAUAGCCUCUUGCCUAUGCAGUCGGAGAGAUUGAGGUCUGCAGCGUAGAUCCUUCGGGGCUAAAUGCAUUUGUGCUAAGUUAUAGCAUUUUAUAGACAACUUGUUGACUAUGAUUUGUCUUGUAGCUUACUCGCUUAUGCUAUUUUACCUACGCUUAGGAUGUUGAUGUGAUACUGCGAGCA